CAAUAGCGUAUAUUUAAGUUGUUGCAGUUAAAAAGCUCGUAGUUGGAUUUCUGCUGAUCGCUGUCGGUCUGCCGUCAGGUGUGUACUGGCAGUGUUUGGCAUCUAUUCGAGAUUGGGUGUCCACUUGAUUGUGUGCACUCGAUGUCGGAGCUAAUACUUUGAGAAAAUUAGAGUGUUCCACGCAGGCGCGUGCCUUGAAUACUGCAGCAUGGGAUAUUGGAAGGCCGAUUGAGCUUUCUUGUUGGUUCUCGGUUUGAUCGGAAUGAUUAAUAGGGAUAGUUGGGGGCAUUCGUAUCCAACUGUCAGAGGUGAAAUUCUUGGAUUUGUUGAAGACGGACUACUGCGAAAGCAUCUGCCAUGGAUGUUCUCAUUGA
rnacentral:rRNA from 1 species